rnacentral:snoRNA from 1 species
AUGCAUGAUGAUAACCCCAUUUUCGCCAGUCUGUUGAGAACAGGGCGUGGACUCGCUGUCCGCGCCGUAAGACCAUCCCGCGUUGUGCGUCUGGCGCGCGGUUCUGCAGCUGGCCCCGUUCUGGGGCCGCUGCGGCCACCGCGCGCCGGAGCUGGGCGUCUUUUUGUGUUAUGAGUGGCUGGAUUCUUUUGUCAUAGUUACACUGAGC